GAUGAACGCUGGCGGCGUGCUUAACACAUGCAAGUCGAACGGAAAGGCCAGUGCUUGCACUGGUGCUUGAGUGGCGAACGGGUGAGUAACACGUGGGUGAUCUGCCCUGCACUUUGGGAUAAGCCUGGGAAACUGGGUCUAAUACCAGAUAGGACCAUGCUUUGGAUGGUGUGGUGGAAAGUUUUUUCGGUGUGGGAUGAGCUUGCGGCCUAUCAGCUUGUUGGUGGGGUAAUGGCCUACCAAGGCGUCGACGGGUAGCCGGCCUGAGAGGGUGUACGGCCACAUUGGGACUGAGAUACGGCCCAGACUCCUACGGGAGGCAGCAGUGGGGAAUAUUGCACAAUGGGCGCAAGCCUGAUGCAGCGACGCCGCGUGGGGGAGGACGGCCUUCGGGUUGUAAACUCCUUUCGCAACUGACGAAGCUUUUUGUGACGGUAGGUUGAGAAGAAGCACCGGCUAACUACGUG
rnacentral:rRNA from 1 species